rnacentral:tRNA from 1 species
GUCAGGAUGGCCGAGCGGUCUAAGGCGCCAGACUCAAGGUAUCCCCUUGCUCGCUGUGAGCGAGUUAGAGUUGUUCUGGUCCUCUCUGAGGGCGUGGGUUCGAAUCCCACUUCUGACA